UGGGGAAUAUUGCACAAUGGGGGAAACCCUGAUGCAGCGACGCCGCGUGAACGAAGAAGGUAUUCGUAUCGUAAAGUUCUGUCCUAUGGGAAGAUAAUGACAGUACCAUAGAAGAAAGCUCCGGCUAAAUACGUGCCAGCAGCCGCGGUAAUACGUAUGGAGCGAGCGUUGUCCGGAAUUAUUGGGCGUAAAGGGUACGCAGGCGGUUUAGUAAGUCGAAUGUUAAAGAUCGGGGCUCAACCCCGUAAAGCAUUGGAAACUGAUAAACUUGAGUAGUGGAGAGGAAAGUGGAAUUCCUAGUGUAGUGGUGAAAUACGUAGAUAUUAGGAGGAAUACCAGUAGCGAAGGCGACUUUCUGGACACAAACUGACGCUGAGGUACGAAAGCGUGGGGAGCAAACAGG
rnacentral:rRNA from 1 species